UUUGUUUUAGUAUAAUGUAUUAUAUUAGCUUUUCGUGCUAAUGAUAGUUUUAUGACUAAACAAAA
rnacentral:tRNA from 1 species